CUACGGGGGGCUGCAGUGAGGAAUUUUGCGCAAUGGGGGAAACCCUGACGCAGCAACGCCGCGUGAGCGAAGAAGGCCUUCGGGUCGUAAAGCUCUGUCAAGUGGGAAAAAAAUCUUUUGAUCAAUAGUCAAAAGGCUUGAUGGUACCACUGGAGGAAGCACCGGCUAACUCCGUGCCAGCAGCCGCGGUAAUACGGAGGGUGCAAGCGUUGUUCGGAUUUACUGGGCGUAAAGAGCGUGCAGGCGGUUUAGCAAGUCAGAUGUGAAAGCCCUGGGCUCAACCCGGGAAGUGCAUUUGAAACUGCUUCACUAGAGUAUGGGAGAGGAGAUUGGAAUUCCUGGUGUAGAGGUGAAAUUCGUAGAUAUCAGGAGGAACACCCGUGGCGGAGGCGAUUCUCUGGACCAAUACUGACGCUGAGACGCGAAAGCGUGGGGAGCAAACAGGAUUAGAUACCCUCGUAGUC
rnacentral:rRNA from 1 species